AAUCAACGCUGGCGGCGUGCCUCAGACAUGCAAGUCGAACGAGAAAGUUCCCUUCGGGGAAUGAGUAAAGUGGCGCACGGGUGAGUAACACGUAGGUAAUCUACCUUCGGGUGGGGAAGUAACCCAGGGAAACUUGGGCUAACACCGCAUAAUGCAGCGGCACCACAUGGUGACAGUUGUUAAAGCGGGGGAGUUUUAGGUACCUCGCGCCUGAAGAGGAGCCUGCGGCGGAUUAGCAGUUGGUAGGGUAACGGCUUACCAAGGCGACGAUCCGUAACCGGCCUGAGAGGGCGGUCGGGUCACACUGACACUGACAUACGGGUCAGACUCCUACGGGAGGCAGCAGUCGGGAAUUUUGGGCAAUGGG
rnacentral:rRNA from 1 species